rnacentral:rRNA from 1 species
CAUCUGGCAUGGGCGCAAGCCUGACCGCCUGCCGCGUGAGUGACGAAGGCCUUAGGGUUGUGAAGCUCUUUUGGCGGGGAAGAUAAUGACGGUACCCGCAGAAUAAGCUCCGGCUAACUUCGUGCCAGCAGCCGCGGUAAUACGAAGGGAGCUAGCGUUGUUCGGAAUCACUGGGCGUAAAGCGCACGUAGGCGGAUGUGUCAGUCAGGGGUGAAAUCCCGGAGCUCAACUUCGGAACUGCCCUUGAUACAGCACGUCUCGAGUCCGAGAGAGGUGAGUGGAAUCCCUAGUGUAGAGGAGAAAUUCGUAGAUAUUAGGAAGAACACCAGUGGCGAAGGCGGCUCACUGGCUCGGUACUGACGCUGAGGUGCGAAAG